AGAGAACACUACAAAAAUGGGGAUUUUUGUGGCGGUUAACGAGAGCCGCUAGAAAAUAUUGUAAUUCUGACAGAAAACUUGACCGCCACGAUCGUAUACUUUGUUGAUGCUAACCAUGCCGCAUGUCAACUAACACAUGUCUCGACUCACGACUCAAAAAAACCAAGGCAUCAAAUCAAACCCUCAAAAGUUCUCUCUCUCUCUCUCUCUCUCCUUUUAUAUCAUCAUGUUCUUGUAUUGCUCUAGUCUCCUCUGAGAGACCUUGGAGAUUUUUCCACCAACGCAAGGCUUCAACCUCCGCUACGAAAGCAUGAGGCUCGCCGGUUGAAGUACUCUGAAGGAUAAGUUCCAAGUGAUCGACGCUGAUUCCAGAGUGAAGCGCUUUCUUUCUUUCCACCAUGGUUUCGCUAGGGUUUUGUCCUCGCUUCGUUUGAACUCUGGACGUUGUUUAGGGGUUAGGUUUUUUCUCUUAUGUUCUUGUCUCUGGAACCGAGCACUGAAGGAUGUUGUACCACGUUGUGCCAAAGUCGAAGUUGUGCGCGGUGCAUUGCGCGAACAUCAAGUUCUUCUCAGAGUUUGAUUUGGCUGCUCUUGCCUUCGAUGUCGAUUAUAGGAGCAUUUCAUUCUCCCCGCACUCUCCUCUGUCGAUUUUGAAUCGCACAAUGUCUCCUUCGGCAGAAAUUUUAGCAUCCAAGAUUGAUUAGGGUUUCACUUCCCCCAGUUUCGCUUGUAGUCAAUUGCAUCGUCGAUUGUGCUGAUCUUCUCCUCGUUUUUCUUUUGGAGUUCUCUGGUUGAUUAAACAAGAAUCUGAUGAAUUUUAACUCAAACACCUUGCUAUGAAAUUCAAAUUCGUGGGAGUGUAUCAAUAAAAUUGAAAUUUGUGUGCUACUCUGUGGACCAUAACAGAGUUAAUUCCUAAUUUGUUGAUUGCAUGUUCAGCUGCUGGAAAUCAUGCUGAGCUAGUUUAAUUUUCUUGAUGAUUUUGGAUUUUAAUUAAUCGAUCUAUUGAUUAUGGCAUCGUAGUGGAUAGAAUAAUUUUAUAACAACAAAAACAACGAAGCCUCUUAUUCUACUAGGGAAUAGAAUAAUUAUGUUUUAAUCCUCAUACUUGUUGUAUAUGCUUGAGGUGACAAUUAAGCUAGUCAUCUGCUCAUUGUGUGACUUUAUGCUGAUCUUAAUGGAAAGAAUUUGAAGUUUCAUGAUAUUUGUACUUUUUUAAUCCAGGUAACAUCCAAGGUAGUGAUUAUUUAGCUUGGUUUUUAUUCCUCGAAUCAUCACAUCUCAGUAUUUAGCUUCAUUCUCACAUUCAAUCAGUUCCAUUGUCGAGGUGCACAAAUUCGUGGUGGAAAAAUUGUUCUCUUCUAUCAGGAUUGACACGUCAGGCACAUAUUUGAUUUAACUAGAAAUGGGUUCACACUUUGUAAUGUACCUAGCUAAGGUGAAAGGUUUGAUCAUGACUUAUUUCAAAUCUAUUAUGCUUACUAAGUUGCCUGAGUAUAUUCUCAUGGGAUGAGAUAUAGUUCCUUCAGCUGUUCAGCUUACUAGCAAAAGUUAUUCAAGUUUUCAAGACUACAUAUAUUUGCCAACAUACUAUAUAUCUUUCUUUCAUAAUUCAGUUCCAUUAUGUCUGGUGCCCUGCUUGAUUCACUGUCCUGGAACCAACCUCCAUACUAAAUACCAUUUGUCUUUUGUUUCAGCCUAAUUUUUAAUGUAUGGUGCAAUUCAAAGUUUUCCAUGAAACUGAAUUUUUUCGUACACUUAUGAGAUAUACUUUGUCUCUUUUCCAGAAAAUUCAAAAUCAGGACUACCCCGCUCUGUGUGGAGAGGUUGUAAACUUUGUUAUUUGAUUUAUUUCAGUUUUUCCAGCUUCUACAUUCUACCCAUCCCCAAUUUUCCAUGACACUCAAACAUUUGACAGAGUUUUUGGCUUUAAAUGCAUUUUUGAUAAGUUUACAAGAUUGUUAUGUGUAGAUUUAUCUUUGUGCUCCAAGGUGCUGUCACCCUCACUAAUGUUGCUGGUGUUAGCCAACUACUUAAGAUAUAGGUGACAAUCAGCUUCAAGGACCCAUUCACAUAUUAAGUGGCAGUACACCAUUGAUGUUGCCAACAGGUAGAAGUGAUCCAGAAUGGAAGAAGGCAUGGAAUGCUCUGUUAUCUAGUCACCUUUGUUUUUUUCCUGCUAAGUGACAAUGUUAAUUCUUUUGAUGUUGUAGAACAAUCUGAGUUUGUGCAAGUGAUUUUUAGUCAUGGUUUUUUUACCUCUUUAUCUCUUUAUGUAUAUCUUUGUUGGAUACAUGGCUUUACCUUUUUUUUA